rnacentral:rRNA from 1 species
GACGAACGCUGGCGGCGUGCUUAACACAUGCAAGUCGAACGGAAAGGCCCUGCUUUUGUGGGGUGCUCGAGUGGCGAACGGGUGAGUAACACGUGAGUAAUCUGCCCUUGACUUUGGGAUAACUUCAGGAAACUGGGGCUAAUACCGGAUAGGAGCUCCUGCUGCAUGGUGGGGGUUGGAAAGUUUCGGCGGUUGGGGAUGGACUCGCGGCUUAUCAGCUUGUUGGUGGGGUAGUGGCUUACCAAGGCUUUGACGGGUAGCCGGCCUGAGAGGGUGACCGGCCACAUUGGGACUGAGGUACGGCCCAGACUCCUACGGGAGGCAGCAGUGGGGAAUAUUGCACAAUGGGCGGAAGCCCGAUGCAGCAACGCCGCGUGCGGGAUGACGGCCUUCGGGUUGUAAACCGCUUUCGCCUGUGACGAAGCGUGAGUGACGGUAAUGGGUAAAGAAGCACCGGCUAACUACGUG